rnacentral:lncRNA from 1 species
GGACACCCCAGACCGGAAACUCUGGACAGGACCCUGACAGCCUGAGCACCGAGUGGGGCCCAGGAAACUGGAAUCCAGACUUAACGCCAAUCACUUGUUCCAGCAAACUGAGCCAUCUCUAUCAGGGUAACCCACAAAUGCAGUUUUAGGAUUGCACUGGAUAACAAACUGUCUGUAGAGGGUAUGAAAUCAGACCACAAUUUCACAAUCUCAUCCAGCCCUUUAUGUGUAUUUGAAGAGUCCUCAUCUUAAGAUGUGACAAAGUAGCACGUGCAGAAGAAUGAAAGUAUGUUCCUUUCUUUUCUCAAAGGAUGCCUUCAAAAGGCUGUCACAUCAAGAGUCAAAAUACUGAAAAUUAACUGGUCACUUCAUGUAAAACCAAACUAGAAGAAGAAAAACCGGCUCUGUCUCUUUCCUGAAC